rnacentral:lncRNA from 10 species
GCACCAUGCGCCGCCCCGGUUCCCGCCAGCGCCUCUCCCUCCACACCUCCCCACAAGCUGAGGGAGCCGGCUCCGGCCUUGGCCAGCCAAGAAAGGGGCUCCUACAGUGCAGCGGCGGGCUGAAGGGCUCAAGUGCCGCCAAAGUGGGAGCCCAGGCAGAGGAGGCGCCCAGAGCCAGCGAGGGCUGUGAGGACUGCCAGCAUGCUGUCACCUCUCAAUUACACACCAUGGUCAAAUCCUCUCAUAGUACAAGGCUUUUGGUAACCCAUAGAAGUAUUUGAUCAGAGAUAUGAAAUAAUCAAUGCAAUUGUUUAAGAAGAUCAUCUGACAGUGGUGUACAGAUAUAUUGGAGUAAAAUAACACACACCAGUGAGAUGAGGUGGGAAGCAAGAACAAUUGUCCCCAUGAGAGACAAAUGCAUUAACAGUGGAAGCUGCUGAAAAGAUUUUCCAUUCAUGGAUUUUAAUGAGAAAGGAUGAAAAAUCAAAGUAGUUUUAAGGAUUAAGCAAAGGAUUGGGAGUCUAUUCAAAAUGCCACAUUACAUUUGGAUGCCAUGUCUCCUUAGGUUCCUGUGGGCUGUGUCAAUUUCUGUGACAUUUUUGAUGAUGUUGACACUUUGGAAGACUAUUGGUAAAGUACUUUGUCGUAUGCACCUUUAUCCUCUAAUGGAAUUUAAAUUUAUCUAAUGUUUAUCUCAUGAUUAGACUGAGGUUAUCUGUUUUAGGGACACAGGUCACAGAGAUGAGGUGUCAUUUUUAUCACAUCACAUAAAGGAAACACUAUCAAGUGAUUAAUGACUGUUGAUGUGGACCUCGAUUCCCUGGCAGAGCGGGAGUUUGCCAGGUUUCUCCACUCUAAACUUACUCUUCUCCACUCUCUUACUAUACUAGACUCUGGAAGGAAGACAUUACAUGUAUCACACACUUAAGAAAUGGGGACUAAUACUCCCUCUCCUUGGUAAUGGAGAAUCUACAAAAAUCAUUUGGAAAUAUUCUUCAUGGGAGAUUUGUCUCAUCUCUUCUUCUUAUAUAUUUAUUUGUUCUUAUAAUUAUUUAUUUAUAUCAUGAUGUUCUCAUCAACAUAUAUUUUGUAUUUUGUAUUACAUUAAUACAACUUUCAUUUUCUUGCUCAAAUUGUUUCAGGAUUGGCCAUUGAGAGGUCUUUCAGUUGGCUCUUGUGUUCUGUCGAUAUAUCUCCAUAGGCAUUUUUUGUUUGUUUGUUUUUGCUUUUGGACACCUCCUCAUUUUCCAGCAUGACAAGAUGAGCUGUGUUCAUCUUGUGUAUUUCUAGGCCCAUCUCUAGAAUGAGCCAUUUAUCCAAAGAGCUUUGGUUUCUUUUAUUGGAAUAUAUUAGAAAACAAGAUCUGGAUGCAAACUGUGCAAGUUCUACUGGGGUGUCAUUUCUUUUAGGACCUCUUAGCACCUUUCAAAUAUAUGUCUAUAUAUUUGUCUUUAUAUAUUUACAUAUAAAUAAACAUUUCCAUAUUUGACAAUCUAUAUCUAUAUUACACUAAUAGCCUGAGAUCUUCACCUCUAUGUUUUAUUGAUUGAUGUGUCUUACUGAUUUUUCCAAACCUCAUCUAUCACUAUAUAAAUUAUUCUGGCCUCUUGCCCUUACUUUUACAUAAAUACUCACUUCAACAAAUAGAAACUUCACUCUCAUGAUUUACCAUCUAUUUACUUUAUUGUUCAAUUCCAGUGUACGUGUAUAGAAGUAUCAAGAUUGUCCACCAGUAUCCCAAUGGGAAAAACUUCAUUAGCCGGUAUAGUGCUUUUGUGAUGUUUCUUUCGCCUUUAGACUUACAUACAUCUCUCAUUUCCAAAAUUACUUAGUUCAUCAGCUACCCACCCCCCUCGCCCACCUUCUCACUGAGGUUGUUUCAUGUAUUUAUAAAUAGCAUUACAUUCUAUUGUCAAAGUCUGCAUUGCUUCCUAGGAUUCUCCAAUCUCCUAAAUGAUAUUUUUGUUUGCAUACAUUAAGGCUCACGCUGUGCUAUAAGUUUAUGGAUUUAAACAACUGGAUAAUGUCAUGUUUUCCACCAUGACAGUAUCAUAUAGAAUAAUUUCCCUCCCCUACAUAUUCCCUGUUAUUCACCUGUUCAUCCCUGUCCUUGUCCCCCAACAUCUCAACCUACCACUGCUAUUUUCACUCUCUCUAGUUCUGCCUUUUUCAAAGUAUCAUCUAAUGGGAAUGAUACAGUAUUUACCCUUUUCUGACUGCCAUCUUUCAUUCAUCAAUAUGCAUUUUAGGUUUACCCGGUUUUUGUUGCUUGAUAGUACAUGUUUUAUUGCUAAAUAAUAUUCUAUUGUAUAGAUUUAUCACAGGAUUUAAAAAUUUAUUCACCUAUUGAAGACUGUUUCAGUUGCGUCUAGUUUUGCAAUUAUGAAUAAAGCUGUUAAAAACUUUUCUUGCAGGUUUUUAUGAGGACAUAAGUAUUAAAAUCAAUUGCAUAAAUGCUUAGAAACAAGAUUGUUAUGGCUAUAUUUGGCUUUCUAACACACUAAAAAAAAGUCUUUCAUUCUGGCUGUACAAUUUUGCAUUUUCUUUAUGAGGGAAUGAAAACUUCUGUUGCUUCCAACCCUCUCCAGCAUUCGAUUUUCCAGAUUUUAUGGCUUUUAGUCAUUCAAAUACAUGUACAGUGGUAAUUUCUUGUUGUUUUAAUUUGAAAUUAUUUAAUGACAAAUAAUGCUGAAUAUCUUCUUACAUGCUUGUUUGUCAUUUACAUAAAUUUGGUGUGGAUUCUUUUCAGAUCUUGCCCAUUUUUAAUUGAAUCACGUUAUUAUUGAGAUUUAAAUAUUUCUGUGAAUUUGGAUACAAUCACUUAUCAGAUAGAUGUUAAGCAAAUAUUUUCUUUAGUCUGUGGCUUCUCUUUUGAUUCGCUUCACUAUGUCUUUACAGAACCAAAGAACUUACUUUUAAUACAGUUCAGUUCAUCAAUUUUUAAUAGAUUGUUCUUUUGAUGUUGUAUUAAUAUCUAAAAACACACCACAAACACAGAGUCACAUAAAUUUUCUUCUAUGUUUUCCUCUGCUAGUUUUAUAGUGCUGUUUUAUAUUUGGGUAUAUGAACUAUUUUGAGUUACUUUUUGUGAAAGGUGUAAGGUUUGUGCCUACAUUCAUUUUUUUUAAUAUGAACAUCCAAUCUUUUUAGUACCAUUUGUUGUAAAGACUAUACUUUAUCCUAAAGACUAUACUUUAUCCUAAAGACUAUACUUUAUCCAUUGAACUGCCUUUGCUCUUUUUUCAAUGAUUAGUUAACUAUAUUUUUGUAGAUCUAUUUCUGGGUUCUCUAUUCUUUUCCACUCAUUUAUAUAACCUUUUGAUAAAUAUAUCAAUAACAUGGUGUACAGAUUAUAAUAGCUUAAUUAUAACCAAACCAUGCAUUUGGUUAUAUCAGUCCUCUUACUUUUCUCUUCUUCAGUAUUGUGCAGAAAAUUUUAGGGUGUUCUUUUGUUUCCAUAUAAACCUUCCAGUUAAUUUGUUGAUACAAAAAAGCUUGUUGGAACUGCUGCUAUGAUUGUUUUGAAUAUAUGAAUCAAGUUGGAAAGAACUGACAUUUUAACACUAUUGAGUUCUCCAGUCUAUGAACAUGAAAUCUCUCUCCAUUAAUUGAGUUUUUUUCCUGAUGUCUCUCACCAGAGUUUUGUAGUUUCCCGUGUGGAUUUUUUUUACUCAUUUUAUUAUAUUCAUACUAAAUAUUUCAUUUUGGUGUUAUCAUAAAUCACAUUUUGUUUUUAAUAUCAAACCUAAAUUAUUUAUUGCUGGUAUAUAAGACAGCAACUGACUUUUGUAUAGUAAUCUUGUAUCCUAUGACCUUGCUGCUGAUCAGCUCUUGGAUUUUUUUUUCCCAGUUAUUUGCAAUUUUCUACUUAGUAAAAUCAUAUCGUCUGCAAAUAAAGGUAGUUUUACUCCUUCCUUUACAAUCUCGUACUUUCUGUUUUAUUUUGCCUUAAAAUAACUAGGACUUUCAAUCAGGGGAUAUUAAGAGUGAUGAGAGAGGGUAUCCUUACCGUUAGUCUGAGAUAUGGUGGAUUACAUUGGCCAUUUUUCAUAUGUUGAAGCAGCAUUGGAUACUUGGAAUAAAUUCCACUUUGUCAUGGUGUAUCAUUCAUUUUCAUACAUUGUUAAAUUUGAUUUGCUAAUAUUUUGUUAAGGAUUUUUGAAUCUAUGUUGUUUAUGAAAGAUAUUGUCUGUCAUUUUCUUUUUUAAAAUCAUGUUCCCAGCACUUUGGGAGGCCGAGGUAGGCAGAUCAUUUGAGAUCAGGUGUUCAAGACCAGCCUGGCCAACAUAGAGUAACCCUGUCCCUACUAAAAAAUGCAAAAAUCAGCUGGGCAUGGUGGUGUGCACCUAUAAUACCAGCUACUUGGGAGGCUGAGGCAGGAGAAUCAUGGAAGUUGCAGUGAGGCGGAUGUUGCAAUGAGCCGAGAUCUUGCCACUGCACUCCAGCCUGGGCCACAGAAAGAGACUCCGUCUCAAAAAAACAAAUAAACAAAAAACCCAAAAACCCCUGUGUUUACCUGAUUUUAGUAUUAGAGUAGUGCUGGCCUAAUAAAAUAAGUUAGAAAUUGUUCCUCAUAUAUUCUGGACGAUAUUGUGAAGUAUUGGUAUAAUUUCUUCCAUAAAUGUUUGGCAUAAUUUAAUAGCAAAAGUAUUUAGACUGAGCACUUUCUUUUUGGCAAGGUAUUAAUUAUUGAAUCUAUUUAAUAUGUGUUGACUUAAUCAGUUUAUCGAUUUUGCAUGGUGUGAGUUUUAGUAGUUUGUGUCUUUCAAGUAAUUGGUCCACUUAAUCCAAGAUAUUAAAUUUGUGGGCAUAAAAGGACUGAAUUAUCAGCCCCCAUGCCCAGCCAAAUAUGUGUGUUGUAGUCCUAAUCCAUAGUAUCUAGAAUGAAAUGUAUUUGUAGUUAAGGUCUUUAAAUAGUUGAUUAAGAUAGUGUGAAUUUUAAUCUAUAUGACUGGUGUCCUUCUAAGAAGAAUAAAUGUGAACAAACGAAGAAAUACCAGGAAUGAGCUUGCAUAGAGGAAAAACCAUGUGAAGACACAGCAAAAUGGGAACAAUUCACAAGCCAAGGAGAAAGUUUUCAGAAGAAACCAAACCUGCCAACAUCUCAGUCUUGUACUUCUAGCUUCCGAGAAUGAAAAAAAAUAAAUUUCUAUUGUUUAAGACACCGAAUGGUAUUUUGUUAUGAAAGUUCUAGCACACUAAUACAGAAAGUUUGUAAUAUUUACUUAUUAUCCUUUUACUAUUCAUGGGAUCAGUAGCAACAACAUGCUAGUCCACAUU